GCAACUUCAGCAGCACAUAUACUAAAAUUGGAAGAAUACAGAGAAGAUUAGCAUGGCCCCUGCACAAGGAUGACACGUAAAUUCAUGAAGCGUUCCAACUCUAG
ensembl:snRNA U6 U6 spliceosomal RNA